AUAUACCUAAAUUAAGAUAAUUACAUCUCAAUUUGCAUUCCCCAUGCUAUAACUCAGCACUAUAAUUUUAACCCAAUGCACA